rnacentral:lncRNA from 10 species
CUGCUGUGGAACUUGUCUCUGUCUCUUUUUCUGAUUUUGUCCCUCAGUCGAAUUAUUUCUUCUGAGGAGGCAAGGACUGAAGUUGCUACAGACCCCUAAGGACAGGCCAUCGGUAACACUGGGUAAAUCAGAUCUCUUCCACGGGUCUAUCAAUGAGAAGAAAGUGCCAACUGAAAACUUUUAGAAAAUACCCAGUUUACUCAAGGAAAAUAACAUGCAUUGAAGGUGAUUGCUCAAUAGAGAGAAGUUGAAACAGCAGACUAAUUGCCUGUUUGUGACACCCAUGUAAUCAACUUGCCAUUUGUACUCAUCAGUUCAGGCUGUGUUUUCCCACUGAGACAUCAUUUACAGUGCUCUAAACAUAUUUUCACAACAUUCACCUGACAACAUCAGCUGAGAGAAAAAUUUUCAGACUGCCGAGAAACAUCAGGAGGCCAUGAAUUCUUAAUCAACACACCAAAUUAUGAAAAUGGCCUAUAGGUUGAGGUUGAUCUGAAAGAUAGGACUAUUUGUGAUCCAGAAUCAAAAGAGUCAAGAAAAGUCUGAGAAUUUCAUCCUUGGAGCAGAAAGUGAAAGUGUUCUGGAGCCAAAAGUAGUAACAAAGAUGGAGGGCAAGAGAUCAUUGGAUUAAAUCAUAUUGGCAGACCAAAUUUCAGAAGAAUCAACACACCAGAGACAAGAAGAACUUGAAGUUAAAGCAAAGUUCCCUUAUA